UGACACAUUUGUUGUUGAAAGAGGAAGUUGAGUUUAUCUGGUGUCUCACCACAGAAACCUUAUUUGCACAAAUGAAAGAAACAUACCCAGGAAGUUGCAACUUGUCCAAGAUCACAUAGUGAACUUCAUGAAAGACAUGAGUACUACUGGAGGAGAGAGAAAAUGAGGAGGGCAAAGGUUGAACAACUAUUGGGUACUAUGAUGCUACCUGGGAAAUAGGAUCAUUUGUGCUCCAAACCUCAGCAUUAUACAAUUUACCCAUGUAACAAACCUAUGCAUGCACUCCUAUAAUCUAAAAUAAAAGUUGAAAUUAUUUAAAAAAGAAGCCUAGGUUGAUCUGCUUUUAAAAAUAGUAGGAAAAAAACCCUUUUACAUACACGUGCACACCCAAAAUGUGUAUAAAGUAAUUGCUAUGCACAAUAACUAUUGUUAUUUAACUGGGUGAGAAAAGAGAAGUAUUUGUACAGAAGACUCACAGGGAAAGAAGUCACAAGAUUUUAGGGUUAUAUAAGCCUUAGAGAAGGAUAACAGGCCAUGAAAAAUGCUCCAUGGAGUUUGGCUUAGGAUGUCCUAUUUCCCGUAGCAGAUAUUAUGCCCUCAUGUAAUGAUAUGGUUUGGCUGUGUCCCCAACCCAAAUCUCAUCUUUUCAGUAACUCCCACAAUUUCCACAUGUCAUGGGAGGGACCUAGUGGGAGGUGAUUGAAUCACGGAGGCGAGCCUUUUUCAUGCUUUUCUCGUGAUAGUGAAUAAGUCUCAUGAGCUCUGAUGGUUUUAUAAAAAGGAGUUCCCCUGCACAUGCUCUCUCUGUGUCUGCCGCCAUCCAUGUAAGACAUGACUUGCUGCUCCUUGCCUUCCACCAUGAUUAUGAAGCAUCCCUAGCCACGUGGAACUGUAAGCCUAAGACACGUCUUUCUUUUGUAAAUUGCCCAGUCUCAGGUGUGUCUUUAUCAGCAGCAUGAAAACAGACUAAUGCAGUAAAUUGGUACCAGUAGAGUGGGGUGCUGCUGUAGGUACUGGAAAAUGUGGAAACAACUUUGGAACUGGGUAACAGGCAGGGGUUGUAACAAUUUGGAGGGCUCAGAAGAAGACAGGGAAAUGUGGAAAUGAUUGGAACUUCCUAGAGACUUGUUGAAUGGCUUUGCUUAAAAUGCUGAUAGUGAUAUGGAUGAUACAGAUAAUACAGAUUCUUCUGUAUCUGGCAGAAUAAAUUACUAAGCAGCAAAGCAUUCAAAAGAUGAAUUGGGUGCUGUGACAGGUCUUCAGUUUUAUAAGGAAAGUAGAGAAUAAAAGUUUGGAAAAUUUGCAGCCUGGCAAUACUAUAGAAAACAAAAUUCAUUUUCUGAGGGGAAAUUCAAACCAGCUGCAGAAAUUUGCAUAAGUAAUGAGGAGCUGAA
rnacentral:lncRNA from 10 species